rnacentral:rRNA from 1 species
AGUCGAGGGGUAUAAGUCUUCGGAUUUAGAGACCGGCGCACGGGUGCGUAACGCGUAUGCAAUCUACCUUUUACAGAGGGAUAGCCCAGAGAAAUUUGGAUUAAUACCUCAUAGUAUUAUAGAAUGGCAUCAUUUUAUAAUUAAAGUCACAACGGUAAAAGAUGAGCAUGCGUCCCAUUAGCUAGUUGGUAAGGUAACGGCUUACCAAGGCUACGAUGGGUAGGGGUCCUGAGAGGGAGAUCCCCCACACUGGUACUGAGACACGGACCAGACUCCUACGGGAGGCAGCAGUGAGGAAUAUUGGACAAUGGGCGCAAGCCUGAUCCAGCCAUGCCGCGUGCAGGAUGACGGUCCUAUGGAUUGUAAACUGCUUUUAUACGAGAAGAAACACUCCUUCGUGAAGGAGCUUGACGGUAUCGUAAGAAUAAGGAUCGGCUAACUCCGUGCCAGCAGCCGCGGUAAUACGGAGGAUCCAAGCGUUAUCCGGAAUCAUUGGGUUUAAAGGGUCCGUAGGCGGUUUAAUAAGUCAGUGGUGAAAGCCCAUCGCUCAACGGUGGAACGGCCAUUGAUACUGUUAGACUUGAAUUAUUAGGAAGUAACUAGAAUAUGUAGUGUAGCGGUGAAAUGCUUAGAGAUUACAUGGAAUACCAAUUGCGAAGGCAGGUUACUACUAAUUGAUUGACGCUGAUGGACGAAAGCGUGGGUAGCGAACAGGAUUAGAUACCCUGGUAGUCCACGCCGUAAACGAUGGAUACUAGCUGUUGGGAGCAAUCUCAGUGGCUAAGCGAAAGUGAUAAGUAUCCCACCUGGGGAGUACGUUCGCAAGAAUGAAACUCAAAGGAAUUGACGGGG